AUUGAACGCUGGCGGCAGGCCUAACACAUGCAAGUCGAGCGGAGCGGCGGACGGGUGAGUAAUGCCUAGGAAUCUGCAUGGUCGUGGGGGAUAACGUCCGGAAACGGGCGCUAAUACCGCAUACGAUCAGAAGAGCACAGGUCGGAUUAGUCAGUAGGUGGGGUAACGGCCUACCAAGGCGAAGAUCCGUAGAUGGUCUGAGAGGAUGAUCAGUCACACUGGAACUGAUCCACGGUCCAAACUCCUACGGGAGGCAGCCGUGGGGAAUAUUGGACAAUGGGCGAAAGCCGGAUCCAGCCCUGCCGCGUGUGUGAAGAAGGUCUUCGGAUUUUAAAGCACUUUAAGUUGGGAGGCGUUACCAACAGAAUAAGCACCGGCUAACUUCGUGCCAGCAGCCGCGGUAAUAC
rnacentral:rRNA from 1 species